UGUAGCGUAAUGGAUAAUGCGCAUUGAACUUCUAAUCCAAAGGCCAUGGGUUCGAAUUCCAUCUAA